rnacentral:rRNA from 1 species
AAACUAACAAGGAUUCCCCUAGUAACUGCGAGUGAAGCGGGAAAAGCUCAAAUUUAAAAUCUGGCGGCUUUGGUCGUCCGAGUUGUAUCCUAGAGAAGUGUUUUCCGCGUUGGACCGUGUAUAAGUCUCUUGGAACAGAGCGUCAUAGAGGGUGAGAAUCCCGUCUUUGACACGGACUACCAAUGCUUUGUGAUACACUCUCAAAGAGUCGAGUUGUUUGGGAAUGCAGCUCAAAAUGGGUGGUAAAUUCCAUCUAAAGCUAAAUAUUGGCGAGAGACCGAUAGCGAACAAGUACCGUGAGGGAAAGAUGAAAAGCACUUUGGAAAGAGAGUUAAACAGUACGUGAAAUUGCUGAAAGGGAAACGAUUGAAGUCAGUCGCGUUAGCUAGAACUCAACCAGGCUUGCUUGGCGUAUUUUCUAGUUAACGGGCCAGCAUCAGUUUUGACCGCAGGAAAAAGGCCAGGGAAAUGUGGCACCUUCGGGUGUGUUAUAGUCUUUGGUCAUAUACUGCGANNGGGACUGAGGUUCGCANCACGCGCAAGCUGUGCUUAGGAUGCUGGCGUAAUGGCUUUAAACGAC